rnacentral:lncRNA from 1 species
AUGCAUGUCCUGAUUCCGCCACUAGAGGUCACUGUCCCACCACAAUCUCCCCACGCCGAGUUCCACCUCCCUUCCCUCUUAACUCAAAUUAGCACGGUAUUAAUUAACACUGUAGUCUAUCAACCGGCGUUCCUCGGCACACUGCAAAGGCAGGGUUUGUGUAGAACAAAGAAAACAACAACAAACACUAACGUUCAUUUUAUUUUCCAAGGGCCACCAAACAAAUCCUUCGUCAUCCCUCACAAACCGGAAGGCGGACGUCCAAGAAUCAGACAUCUGGAGAUAAUGAUACGGCAUGACAAUCACACAAAAAAGGUCUCCUACAGCUACCUGCUUCUCAUCUGCUCCAGUCUCAUGAAUUUUAUCUUCACAUUCUUCCCAACCCAUGAUAUCAAAUUCCUUCCCCACUCCACCCUCUUAAAUGUGUAAGGUUUCAAUCCAUCAUCUGGCUACUGUUUGGAUGUGUUGGUAUAGGUUUCUUUCAGAAUGGCUGUUUUGAAACCAAAGAGGACAGUAUCCAACACGGUAUCCAUCACGGUAUCCAACAGUAUCCAUCACAAUCUGAAUCCUCCCUCAUCUCUUGCCAAAAACUCAGGCAGUGUCAAUUUGUAAAAUACUGAAAGAGUGGCAAUCAGAGCAAGAGGAUAGUACCAUUAUCAGCAGAUGCUGCAAAGAAGAAGAAGAAGAAGAAGAAGAAGAAGAAGAAGAAGAAGAAGAAGAAGAAGCUGUAAACAUUUUAUUUUAUGCCGACCCCUUUUGAAUAACUUGUUUGACUUGGCACUAGUUGUUUUUGCUCCCAUGGCAAAACAACAGUAGCCACAAGAACAGAGAAGCAGGACUUGGUAAAGGCUUCAGGCUGCUCUUGGGAAAGGACAAGCCGUAAACCAGCUGAAGAGCUGCAAGGAUUAUCCUCAUUGGGGGAUAGAGAAGACAUGCAGAGAACUCCUGGAUUCCCUGUUGCAAUAUUUUUCUCUUGUCUAUGCAGACCAUGGCUUGUUUUAACUGCCUGUCAUGCCUAACCAUCACAAUACAAUGACCACUCUGUUUCGUUUAUUAAUUUUUCUCCCUUUCUCUCUCUUCUCCGGAUUGGGUAUACAUUGUUUUUGAGAUGCAGAUUCAGAUGCACGGGGAUUCAGAGUGCUCUUAGACAUGUCACUGCCACUGGAUUUUCAGCUGGACUCUUUUGCCAAAUUAGCUGCUGUACUAGAACUUAGAAGACCUGAGUUCAAAUUCCCACUUGGCCAUGGAAACUCAUGGGGUGGGUGUCGAACUGUUAAAACCACUGCUUAAAUAACUCACAUAUCUUGGAAACUGUUAUAAGCCAGCUCCAAAUUGAUAGUACAUAAUAUAAUCAUAUAGAGUGGACAACCACAACAAGCUGUCUCACAAGUGUGGAAGUCAUGUAGCUGCUAGAGAGCACAUUUUUGUAGCCACCAGGCUCCUCCCAUCUGCCCUAGAUGGCCCCUUAAUUGAAAAGAAGAAGAAGAAGAAGAAGAAGAAGAAGAAGAAGAAGAAGAAGAAGAAGCUGCACCUUGUUUUGCCCCUCCCCCAGGAGUUCUAAUUUGAUGGAAGCAUGUUUAAUAUAACUUAAGCAUGAAUGGGUUCAUGGGUUUUUAAGGGUUGUUCAUUCAGAAUUGCUAUUUUGUGUGGGCAUUCACAACUUGCUUGACUGUCAACUAUCGUAUUCUGGAACAAUUAUUGUAUUUCAUGACUGUAUUCUGGAACAACAACCCAUGAACUUAUCUAGGCUUCUUAUUUGUUUACAAAUAAAAGGACAGUCAUCACAUAUUCA